rnacentral:pre_miRNA from 1 species
UCUAGCAGAUCAGCUUUUUGUUUGUGUUAUGUUCCUACUAAGAUGUAAGACGAUCAAAAAGUUUGUCUGUUGGAUG